AUACGGAGGGUGCAAGCGUUACUCGGAAUCACUGGGCGUAAAGGACGCGUAGGCGGGAAGCCAAGUCUGAUGUGAAAUCCUAUGGCUUAACCAUAGAACUGCAUUGGAAACUGGUUACCUAGAGUAUGGGAGGGGGAGAUGGAAUUAGUGGUGUAGGGGUAAAAUCCGUAGAUAUCGCUAGGAAUACCGAAAGCGAAGGCGAUCUCCUGGAACAAUACUGACGCUAAGGCGUGAAAGCGUGGGGAGCAAACGGGAUUAGAAACCCUAGUAGUCC
rnacentral:rRNA from 1 species